rnacentral:lncRNA from 1 species
UGAAUAUGAAAAAUUUAAAGGAUCUUGACAUCCCAUCAGACUGAUUUCCAAAACCUUUGUAUCCUUUUAUGAGUAUCCUAAGAGUACUUUUUCCACCAUACCGUUAACAGCACUGCAGGAUUAGGAGCUGAAGGCCCUCAUGUACAGCAGAAGGAAGAGAGAUUAAACGACUUGUUUUCUCCUUUGGAGGAGCACGGACCCUAUCUUUUGACUGCAGGAAUCGCCCACUGAUUCAUGCCCAGUCAUCCUGGUUGGAGACUUUUCCAAGCCACACUGGUUGAGCUGUAACCAAGGAUGUCUGUAACCUGGCAGGCUUGUUAACAGAAGGACGUCUUUCAAGGUCAUCCUAACAUCAAAUCCGUCUUGUCUCAGGGUGGCAGAAUCCUACUAGUUGUUGUAUCAUCGAAGUGAAUGAAGCAUAGUCAUCUCUGCUGGGAGAAGGCUCCCCAAACACAAAAGGAG